rnacentral:pre_miRNA from 1 species
CUUGUACUCCCUCCGUCAGGAAAUACUUGUUAUUGAAAUGGAUGUAUCUAGAUGUAUUUUAGUUCUAGACACAUCCAUUUUGAUGACAAGUAAUUCCGGAUGGAGGGAGUACUUU